AGCGCGGGGGACGGAGCGGGAGACGCGGUCGCGCCGAUUGCAGCUCCCUCGGCGGCUCCGGGAUCGGCGCCGCUCGGGUCCCGCCAGCCCAGAGCCCCUCGGGAAAGGUUUUGCUGUGGUAUAUUUUGUCAUUAUGAGAUGUCGUCUACCAGUGCUUCAUUUGUGCAAAUUAAAUUUGAUGACUUGCAGUUUUUUGAGAACUGCGGUGGAGGGAGUUUCGGGAGUGUCUACCGAGCCCGAUGGAUUUCUCAGGACAAGGAGGUGGCGGUAAAGAAGCUGCUCAAAAUAGAAAAAGAGGCAGAAAUACUCAGUGUGCUCAGUCACAAAAACAUCAUUCAGUUCUACGGAGCUGUCAUUGAACCUCCAAAUUAUGGCAUAGUCACAGAGUAUGCUUCUGCUGGCUCACUGUUUGAUUACAUUAAUAGUAACAAAAGUGAAGAGAUGGAUAUGGAUCAUAUCAUGACCUGGGCAACUGACAUAGCUAAAGGAAUGCACUAUUUACACAUGGAAGCUCCAGUCAAAGUUAUCCACAGGGACCUGAAGUCCAGGAAUGUUGUUAUAGCUGCUGAUGGUGUGUUAAAGAUCUGUGAUUUUGGUGCUUCAAGGUUCCACUCCCAUACGACACACAUGUCAUUAGUGGGCACUUUUCCAUGGAUGGCCCCAGAAGUUAUUCAAAGUCUUCCAGUGUCUGAAACAUGUGACACAUACUCGUACGGAGUGGUUCUCUGGGAGAUGCUAACAAGGGAGGUCCCCUUUAAAGGCUUGGAAGGAUUACAAGUAGCUUGGCUUGUAGUGGAAAAAAACGAGAGAUUAACCAUUCCAAGCAGUUGUCCCAGAAGUUUUGCAGAACUGAUGCAGCAAUGUUGGGAUGCUGAUUCAAAGAAAAGGCCAUCUUUCAAGCAGAUCAUUUCAAUCCUGGAAUCUAUGUCAAAUGACAGCAACCUUCCAGACCAGUGUAACUCAUUCCUGCAUAACAAGGCGGAGUGGAGAUGUGAAAUUGAGGCAACCUUAGAGAGACUAAAGAAACUGGAGCGUGAUCUGAGCUUUAAAGAGCAGGAACUAAAGGAACGGGAACGACGUUUGAGGAUGUGGGAGCAGAAGUUAACUGAACAAUCAAAUACUCCUUUGCUGCCCUCCUUUGAUAUUUGUGCAUGGACCGAAGAAGAUGUGUUUUUCUGGAUGCAACAACUUACUAGAAAAGGCGAUGCUUCUGGUGAAAUGAGUGUCUAUGCUAGCUUGUUUAAGGAACAUCAUAUCACUGGGAAACAACUGCUUCUUCUAGAAGAAGAGGAUUUAAAGGACAUGGGAAUUGUUUCCAGAGGACACAUCAUCCAUUUAAAGACUGCUAUCGAGAAGUUAACCCAUGACUACCUAAAUCUAUUUCAUUUUCCGCCAUUAAUUAAGGAUUCUGCAGGUGGAACUGAAGAAAACAUAGAGAAAGUAGUGAAUCUUGAACUUGUUUUUGGUUAUCACUUGAAACCGGGAAAUGGUCCAAAGGAUUGUAAAUGGAAAAUGUACAUGGAGAUGGACGGGGAUGAAAUUGCAAUAACCUACAUAAAAGAUGUGACAUUCAACACUAACCUACCUGAUGUAGAGAUUUUAAAGAUGACAAAGCCACCAUUUGUAAUGGAGAAAUGGAUUGUGGGGAUAGAAGAACACCAGUCUGUAGAAUGUGUUGUUACAUAUGAGAGUGAUGUUAGAGCUCCCAAAAGCACCAGGCACAUCCAAGCUAUCUGCUGGAGCAAGGUGAAAGCACAGGACGAGGUUGAGACAGUACAACUCAUGAUACAGACCUCGGUCGCCAACUCAGAGGGGAAUUCACGGAGCAGAUCUGACUCAGGCAUUGACAGUCAGUGGAUGCAGACACUGCGCAUGCAUCAGAUAGCAAAAGCCAUUUCUCACCAGCACGGCCACCCCCACAGCCCGACCACAGUCACCCACUACCUGCCUUACCUUCACAGCCAAGACUCCUACGCUGCAGCCGUCAGGAGGACACCCGCUCCCGUCAAUCACCAGUUCACAUCCAUCAGCCACUCCAGGAACUCUUCUCCCAUCUCACACAGUUUGAUGAGAAACCUCUCGAAUCUGCAUCUGAACUCAAAAGGCAGCAGUGCCUCCAGCACAGCCUCGGACACCCCUUCGGAGAGAGACAGGUCUGCUGGCAAAGGUAGAAACACCCCCCACAGCGGUAACUCCCGCAGCUCCUCGGGCGGGCGGCGCAGUGGGACCAGCUCCCCGGUGCCCCCCCGACAACUGGGAAGACCCAGCAGGACUUCUUUGCCAGUGGCCCCUCCGGCCUCCCAGCACCACAGGUACCUGCAUUUUCCUUUUCCAGGGUGUAAAAGGCUCUGAAUUAUAAGAAGCCAGCUCUGAGAUGGCUGCUGGAAUGGAUGAUGAAAAACAGCAGAGAGCUCAUGAAGGCAAAUUCAGAACUGGACGUCCAAAGUGACUUGGCAAGAUAUCCCAGAGCUGGGUCUGACCCUGGUGGAUUUUGGCUUCCUAAGCACACAAGUUUCCCCAGCAGCACUGGUGUUCUGUCACUACCAUCAGAAGGACUGGCUGUAAGAGGUCAGAGACAUGUGCUGUAAACCAGCUGCCAAUUCAAGUGCCUGUGAAACCCUGCUCCUAACCAUAGUGGGCAGCACGUGAAUUGGAGACUCCCUAGAGCAAAAACAUUGCCCAGCCCUGCAAACACAGGCUGCUUUUGUUCACAUACAGCCAGGGCACAAGGGGGCUGCCAACAUGCAGCUUGCUCGAGAGCCAAAGGUCUUUCUGAAAGGGGGAGAGCUGCUCAGAGGGCUUUUACAGCAGCUCAUCUGCCUGAGUUGGAGGAGCAAAUUCACAGAAGGAUGAUUGUCACAGGGGUGACAGCCCACUGAACUGUCGAGGAGGCCCCAAAAUCGUAAACAACUCCAGGCUGUUCCUCACCCUAACCCCUUGUGACGUGAGUAGACCGUCAAUCCAUCUCAGGGCAGUGGAGCUGCAGAGGUUGCUUUCUAUGGCCUGGGCAGGAAUUUCCCCCAGCUCAGUGUUUGAUUUGGGCAGCACUGUAAUCUCUUUCUCUUCCAACAUUUCUAGUUGUUGCUUUGGCCUCAUAUUGAUUUUGACAGACGUACCAAAAUGUAAUGCCUGCACUGCGCUUGUCAGGAAGAUAAAUAGAAUAAUGAUGAGAGAGGGGAGAUGAGGUGGCCAUCUGACCCCUUUUUGCUGGGGAAUGCUGCUGCCAGGGUUUCAGCCUGUCCAACUGAUGCCAUGGCUCACUGUGCCUCUGUGCUGGGGGAAAUCUGGUCAUACUGCCUGGGUGGGAUGGGAUGGGAUGGGAUGACUGUGGGACCUGCUCAUCCUGUGCUGAUAUUGCUGAGACCUGCCUUCAGCAGGGGAAAUGCCAGCAGCCCCUCGGUCUCCCCACCUACACCCAGAUCUCAGUGAUGCCAUGCCAGUGGACAAAACACUGCCAUGCUCCCAGGAAUGGUGGAUCUCAGGGCUGGGUUUCACAGGCAGUGUUGCUGCUGAUUGGUUUAUUUCCAUGAAAUGCUAGAGAAAGAAAAUCCAGUUCCUGUUCAGCUGGGAGGGGAGAGUGCCCGUUUGUGCCUCCCCCCAGUGCUGCCAUGGCUGAGUUAAUUCCCCAUGAGAAUCUGCUUUCUUGCUGGCACCGGUGUGAAAUGUGGAUGGGUGUUUUUGGACAUUGUUUACUUUUUAAAGAAAGUAUUUGCUACUGCAGCUUUGCUCUAUCUUACCUGCUCCUGAUGAUUAUUUUCUAGCAGUUGGCCUUGUCUGACAGCAUGCUGACCACAAUCUGCCAGCUUGCUGAGCUGAUUUAAGGAGCAGAGGUUUCUUAAACCCUCUGUCCUUCCCCACUUAGAGCAGAAGCCUCCAGGCAGGGCACCCCUUACCUCUGUCCUCCUCUCUAGCUCAGCUCAUGCUGCUGAGGAUCAAACUCCAUGUAUUUUAAGACUUUCUGAAACUUGCAAAUUUACUGCCAAGAAGACUAGAGUGUGCAUCAAGUAUACACAAUUAAUUUUUUUGAUUGUGCUAUAUAAUGCACUUUGACAUAAAAAUAAUAAUUAUUACUUUUGCCUGGGAAAGAUGGGCAGUGGCUUAUGUAACUGUGGAAAAACCCCGAACUAAGAGACCCCCUGACAUCUAAUGUCACUAAAAUGGAACCAAAUAGCUCUGCUACCUCUGAAAAUUAUAUCUGACAGAAUUAUUUUCUGUGUAUGUGUCCACCAUAGAAGGGUUUUUACAUAAUAUUCUUAUCUAAUGAAUUGCCAAAGUGUAGUAGUUCGAGCCAGUUUGUUGCAAAAAGUUAGAGGUUAGAGAGGAGAAGUCUAUUACAGCAAUAACACUAUUAAGGGUCUGCCAAGAUCACACUUGAGUACAUGUAAAUACAUGGCAUUUGAGAUUAAUGUCUCAGAGGACAGAGGAAUAGUGCUGGGAGGCAGUGACGGCUUGGGAAAAAUGAGAGCUGGGGCUAAAGCGCGCAGCCUUUCCCUGCAGCUCCCACUCCAGCACCACUAUGCUCUCCCCAGCCCACAGCAGCCCCCAGCAGCUGCAGCCC